UACGUAGGUGGCAAGCGUUGUCCGGAUUUAUUGGGCGUAAAGCGAGUGCAGGCGGCUCGAUAAGUCUGAUGUGAAAGCCUUCGGCUCAACCGGAGAAUUGCAUCAGAAACUGUCGAGCUUGAGUACAGAAGAGGAGAGUGGAACUCCAUGUGUAGCGGUGAAAUGCGUAGAUAUAUUGAAGAACACCGGUGGCGAAGGCGGCUCUCUGGUCUGUUACUGACGCUGAGGCUCGAAAGCAUGGUAAGCGAACAGGAUUAGAUACCCUGGUAGUCAAGGC
rnacentral:rRNA from 1 species